rnacentral:rRNA from 1 species
GGUAACCUGCCCAUCAGAAGGGGAUAACACUUGGAAACAGGUGCUAAUACCGUAUAACACUAUUUUCCGCAUGGAAGAAAGUUGAAAGGCGCUUUUGCGCCACUGAUGGAUGGACCCGCGGUGCAUUAGCUAGUUGGUGAGGUAACGGCUCACCAAGGCCACGAUGCAUAGCCGACCUGAGGGGGUGAUCGGCCACACUGGGACUGAGACACGGCCCAGACUCCUACGGGAGGCAGCAGUAGGGAAUCUUCGGCAAUGGACGAAAGUCUGACCGAGCAACGCCGCGUGAGUGAAGAAGGUUUUCGGAUCGUAAAACUCUGUUGUUAGAGAAGAACAAGGAUGAGAGUAGAACGUUCAUCCCUUGACGGUAUCUAACCAGAAAGCCACGGCUAACUACGUGCCAGCAGCCGCGGUAAUACGUAGGUGGCAAGCGUUGUCCGGAUUUAUUGGGCGUAAAGCGAGCGCAGGCGGUUUCUUAAGUCUGAUGUGAAAGCCCCCGGCUCAACCGGGGAGGGUCAUUGGAAACUGGGAGACUUGAGUGCAGAAGAGGAGAGUGGAAUUCCAUGUGUAGCGGUGAAAUGCGUAGAUAUAUGGAGGAACACCAGUGGCGAAGGCGGCUCUCUGGUCUGUAACUGACGCUGAGGCUCGAAAGCGUGGGGAGCGAACAGGAUUAGAUACCCUGGUAGUCCACGCCGUAAAC